rnacentral:piRNA from 1 species
GACUUGUGAGCUUUAGCUUAGAAUGAG